rnacentral:tRNA from 1 species
GGAGGGUACAGCACAGUGAUAGAGCACAUGCUUUGCAUGCAGGAGGUCAUGGGUUCAAUCCCCAGAGCUUCCA